GGGAAUAUCCACUUCAAUCACAACACAAACACAACCAACAACAAAAGGAACCAUAUUUUACAAUCUCAUUUCCUUUUUCAAUAGUUUCAGCCCCAAAAAGAUUCAAUUUUUUUCUGAAGAAAACCCAAAUUUCUUCACCCAAUGGAACCCUAAUCGACUCUGAAGAAUUCCCAGAAAACCCAAUAAAUCAAAAAUCUGUAAUUUACUGUUGAAAUUCACUGUUUUCAGUGAUGUAUCGACCUCAGAAAUUGUGUAGUUUAACAUUGUUAUGGAUAUUGGGAAUUGGGUUAGGGUUAAGUUUUGGGUAUGCAUUAAAAAUGCCGUUUAGGGUCAAUGAUGUACUUCCUGUAUUACCGCAUCAGGUUUCUUGGCCUGUUCUUAAUACUAUGCAUAGCCCUGUUGAUUUGAUGCCUACUUAUAUUGGAUCUUUAACUCCUAAUAAUGGGUCGAUUAGUUGGAAAGGAGCUUGCUUUUUUGAGAAUGAAGCAAGGGCUGAGUUUACUGGUCCUGGUGAUCGAGGCAUUGGUGGUGCUACUAUUCAUCUAUUGACAGGCGCAGCACACAGCUGGACGUGUAUGGAUCUGUAUGUAUUUGCUACACCUUAUAGGAUAUCCUGGGACUACUACUUUUCGGCCCAUGAUCACACAUUCAAAAUUGAGUCAUGGGAGGAACCUGCUGAAAGGGAAUAUGUCAAGGAACAUGGAAUUUCUGUAUUUCUCAUGCCAUCAG
rnacentral:misc_RNA from 1 species